AACGAACGCUGGCGGCAUGCCUAACACAUGCAAGUCGAACGAGACCUUCGGGUCUAGUGGCGCACGGGUGCGUAACGCGUGGGAACCUGCCCUUAGGUUCGGAAUAACUCCCCUAAAGGGGUGCUAAUACCGGAUAAUGUCUUCGGACCAAAGAUUUAUCGCCUUUGGAUGGGCCCGCGUUGGAUUAGCUAGUUGGUAGGGUAAAAGCCUACCAAGGAGACGAUCCAUAGCUGGUCUGAGAGGAUGAUCAGCCACACUGGGACUGAGACACGGCCCAGACUCCUACGGGAGGCAGCAGUGGGGAAUAUUGGACAACGGGCGAAAGCCUGAUCCAGCAAUGCCGCGUGAGUGAUGAAGGCCUUAGGGUUGUAAAGCUCUUUUACCCGGGAUGAUAAUGACAGUACCGGGAGAAUAAGCUCCGGCUAACUCCGUG
rnacentral:rRNA from 1 species